GAUGUAGCUCAGUUGGUAGAGCACUUGCCUGCUAUUCAUGAAGUCCUGAGUUCAUUCUCAACAUC
rnacentral:tRNA from 1 species